GGAUCAAACGAUGAAAGGAAGCAAAUCAAGCGGUGCUACGAGGAAAGCCGAUACCAAGUUGGCUGUAAAGAAGACUGCAGCCAAGGGGAAAGCAGCUAAGGAUCCCAAUAAACCCAAGAGACCCGCUAGCGCCUUCUUUGUGUUCAUGGAGGACUUUAGAAAGCAGUUCAAAGAAGAUCACCCUGACAACAAAUCUGUUGCUGCUGUAAGUGAU